UUUUAACCCUUGCUGUUCCUCUGCUGGCUCUUGGUCCCCAGCUCCUGUGAACCACAGCAUGGUGAUCCUGGCAGAGGAAGGCGGGCCUCGGGCUAUGCAGCAUCUCCUACUUCACCCCAGCCCCAGCCGUGGUCCUCUGGCCCAUGUCCUCUGACAGGGCCAUGUUCUCCUGGUCUCCCGGUUCCAGGGGAGGCACAUUUAGGUGUGCGGUGUGGGACUGGUUCAGAUGGUCCACAGCAGCAGACUAUUUGCCUCGUGCGGGCUCUGAGAGGAGCUCUUUGCCAGCUGCAGAGAGUUCAAAUCUGAGGACUCCAGAGAGAGAGCAAACGCCAGAGCCCAGAGAGUAGAAGAAGGGAAAGAACAAGGCUGCUCCUGCUUCCCCCUUGCUGCUCCUGGUUGCUGUUGUGAGACAAGAAGUCGGAGAUCUGAAACGAGGACUGGACUGGCUCCACGGAACCCGACGACCCUAACCAGCAGGAAGCAGGGGGCAUCUACACACUGCUGAUGGACGACCAGGCCAGCCCAGAGCUGGCUGUCCGCCUGGCUGUUUCUUUGAGGAAGGAGCAUGAAUGACUGGACUCGCAUGACAGUAAGAACGGUUCGUCCCAGACAAUCUUACGUCCCAC